AAGAAAAAUCAUUAAACAGAAACCAUCUAACAGCAAUGCAAAAAGAAGUGGGGAAAUUAUGCAAAACAAGAGAAAAAAAACAACGAAUUGGUGUGCAGCUGCAGGAAGCACGAGACAAAUUUACACAAAUUGCUGAAAACCACACCGAAGCUCUGCAAGGCCGCGUUCCAAAACGUAACUUUGGUUACUAAAAAGCUAUAGUUUACGUUACGUUAACUAUAGAUUUCAGUUACCAAAGUUGCGUUUUGGAACGCACCCCAGAAGCGUCUAUGAAACAAGCUGAAGCAGCAUUAUUAAAAGCCCAAACUGAAGAACGACGACUUGAAUUGGAAGAACAACAAAUGAGAUUUGAAG